rnacentral:lncRNA from 1 species
GGGACAGGGUUUCACCAUGUUAACCAGUCUGGUCUUGAAUUCCUGACCUCAAGUGAUCUGCCUACCUUGGCCUCCCAAAGUGCUGGGAUUACAGGCAUGAGCUGUCGCACUCAGCCAACAUUCCUGUUUUUGAAAAUCCUCCAAUCCCUGAAGUCUGUAUUACAAGACCAAUUCUGCAUUGCUGAGAGAGACUGUGCUUUACAGAGAGUAAGAUCCUUGAUACUGGCUCAGCAUGGAACAUCUGGCACACAGUAUGCACUGAGGAAAUACUUGUUGGAAUAAUCAGUGAAUCAUAGAUGAAAACUUAACCUUGGAAUUAAUUAUGAGACUGCUCAGAGGAAGAGAAUGGGAGACAAAGGACCUGGUGAUUAGACCCCCAAGACACUGGGCUGUCUGCUUGUGUCUCGGGUGGAACAGGCCCAGCGAGAGUCUUUAGGGCCAGAACUCAAGAAUUUAUUGAGCCCUUGUUCUAGGCACUUGGGAUUCACCAGUAUACAAUGGAGACAAAAAUCCCUGCCCUGGAGCAGCUUACAUUCUAGCAUGGCAAACAGGCAGUAAACAGCCCAUUCUGGCUGCUGUAUUGAGAAGAGAAUGUGGUGGACAGAUAUAGAAGCAUGGAAACCUGAUAGGGCUAUUGCAAUCACUCAGAAAAGAGGCGAUGGCAGCUUGGACCUGUUGGAAGCAGUAGAGUGCUUCCAGGGAGGAGAAAGGACCUGAAGGUUAAUUUGAUCACCAAUGGCCAAUGAUGUAAUCAGUUAUGCCUAUGUAAUGAAGCUUCCGUAAAAACCAAAAGGAUUGGGUUUGAUUGAGCUUCUGGAUAGCUAAACAUGUGGAAGUUCCUGGAGGAUGGUGGUCCUAAACAGGGUUACCAGAAAAUUUAAAGUUACGCCAGUCACUCCCAUUCUAUUGCUGAGAGAAAAUACAGAGCGGUGAAGAGCUUACAGUCGGGUGAGCAAGAUACGCCCCCAAUGUUAGCUAAUGAUGUAAGGCAUCAACAAGAAAUGUGGGGGUUCAGGAAAGUGGAAGGUGGGGUCGUCCAAAGCCUGGGAAAGUCUUCAGUUGAAGGCGAGACAGAUGGGACUAUUAGUGAGUUUCGAGAGAUCCAACGCCUCGCCGCCUUCGCUUCAUUUUUGUCUCACGCCCCACCCUUGAACGCGCGGCGCCUUUUGACCCCGCCGCCGCGCCGUAGACCGCGCUGCACGCCGGCGGCAGCCAUGGCGGAUGUGUCAGAGAGGACACUGCAGUUGUCCGUGCUAGUAGCCUUCGCUUCUGGAGUACUCCUGGGCUGGCAGGCGAACCGACUGCGGAGGCGCUACUUGGACUGGAGGAAAAGGAGGCUGCAGGACAAGCUGGCGGCGACGCAGAAGAAGCUGGACCUGGCCUGAGACUCUGCGCCUUCCGCCCCAUUCUGUCCCCCUCAUGGCCACCUUGCCAUGUCCGCGCCGGAGCCCCGGUCCGCCGGCGCCCAGAACCAGGCUUGCCACACAGUCCCCGCCUGCCAUGGCCGGCUCUUCCUGGAGUGUUGCUUGUUGAAGAUGCAUAUAGACUACCGGAAAGAAAUGACUUCUUCUUGCACUUUAUGAAUCAAUUUUAUUUUUAAAAUAAAAAAAUUAAACAUC